UACGGAGGGUGCAAGCGUUAUCCGGAUUUACUGGGCUUAAAGGGUGCGUAGGUGGUCAAGUAAGUCAGUGGUGAAAUCUCCGGGCUUAACCCGGAAACUGCCAUUGAUACUAUUUGUCUUGAAUACUGUGGAGGUCAGCGGAAUAUGUCAUGUAGCGGUGAAAUGCGUAGAUAUGACAUAGAACACCAAUGGCGAAGGCAGCUGGCUACACAAAUAUUGACACUGAGGCACGAAAGCGUGGGGAUCAAACAGG
rnacentral:rRNA from 1 species